UGUCACUAAGCCACCAUUAUGUGGCACACAGUAUGACUGAAUUGGGGUUCUACUCACCCCUAAAAGGUUAAAAUCCACCAAUCAUGAAGAUGUGCUGAGUGACUGCAGUUUCCUGCUUCUCUACUGUCCUGAUUCCAUGUGGAAACGCAGGUCACUGGAGCCAGAGGUGGAUGACUGCCUGAAUACUUGCUGCAGAAGCAAAAGCACUGAAGGGCUCUCCUGGCCCCUGGACACACCUCUGAGGGCUGGCACUGCAGCUGUGAUCCCGGCUGGCAGUGAUACGCCAAUCUGCAGGAAGCUGAUCACACUUUAGGAAUAAAAUUAAAAUUUAAAAGAACCUUUAAAUUGACAUCUUCUCAUUUUUGAGCAAGCUGAAGCUCUAGAAUCGAUCUCUGUAAUGAGGAGACCCCU
rnacentral:lncRNA from 1 species